AGACGAACGCUGGCGGCGUGCCUAAUACAUGCAAGUCGAACGGUCUUUCUAUGGAAGCUGCUCACUGAAAAGAUAGUGGCGAACGGGUGAGUAACACGUGGGUAACCUGCCCAUAAGAGGGGGAGUAACAUCCGGAAACGGGUGCUAAUACCGCAUAGUUUUCUUGAUCGCAUGAUCGGGAAAGGAAAGACGGCCUUUGUGCUGUCGCUUAUGGAUGGACCCGCGGCGUAUUAGUUAGUUGGUGAGGUAACGGCUCACCAAGACGAUGAUACGUAGCCGACCUGAGAGGGUGAUCGGCCACAUUGGGACUGAGACACGGCCCAAACUCCUACGGGAGGCAGCAGUAGGGAAUCUUCCGCAAUGGACGAAAGUCUGACGGAGCAACGCCGCGUGAGUGAAAGAAGGUUUUCGGAUCGUAAAACUCUGUUGUCAGAGAAGAACAAGUUGGAGAGUAACUGCUCCAGCCUUGACGGUAUCUGACCAGAAAGCCACGGCUAACUACGUGCCAGCCGCCGC
rnacentral:rRNA from 1 species